rnacentral:rRNA from 1 species
GACGAACGCUGGCGGCGCGCCUAACACAUGCAAGUCGAACGGAGCUAUUCCGAUAGAUCCCUUCGGGGUGACAUUGGCUUAGCUUAGUGGCGAACGGGUGAGUAACACGUGAGGAACCUGCCCUUCAGAGGGGGACUACAGUUGGAAACGACUGCUAAUACCGCAUAAGACCACAGAGCCGCAUGGCUCAGGGGUCAAAGGAGAAAUCCGCUGAAGGAUGGCCUCGCGUCCGAUUAGCUAGAUGGCGGGGUAACGGCCCACCAUGGCGACGAUCGGUAGCCGGACUGAGAGGUUGAUCGGCCACAUUGGGACUGAGACACGGCCCAGACUCCUACGGGAGGCAGCAGUGGGGAAUAUUGCACAAUGGAGGAAACUCUGAUGCAGCGACGCCGCGUGAGGGAAGAAGAUCUUCGGAUUGUAAACCUCUGUCUUCGGGGACGAUAAUGACGGUACCCGAGGAGGAAGCCACGGCUAACUACGUGCCAGCAGCCGCGGUAAUACGUAGGUGGCAAGCGUUGUCCGGAAUUACUGGGUGUAAAGGGAGCGCAGGCGGGUUUGCAAGUUGGAUGUCUAAUCAAGGGGCUCAACCCCUUUCCGCAUUCAAAACUGCAGAUCUUGAGUGGUGCAGAGGUAGGCGGAAUUCCCGGUGUAGCGGUGGAAUGCGUAGAUAUCGGGAGGAACACCAGUGGCGAAGGCGGCCUACUGGGCACUAACUGACGCUGAGGCUCGAAAGCAUGGGUAGCAAACAGG